rnacentral:rRNA from 1 species
GACGAACGCUGGCGGCGUGCUUAACACAUGCAAGUCGAACGAAGAGCGAUGGAAGCUUGCUUCUAUCAAUCUUAGUGGCGAACGGGUGAGUAACGCGUAAUCAACCUGCCCUUCAGAGGGGGACAACAGUUGGAAACGACUGCUAAUACCGCAUACGAUCUAAUCUCGGCAUCGAGGAUAGAUGAAAGGUGGCCUCUACAUGUAAGCUGUCACUGAAGGAGGGGAUUGCGUCUGAUUAGCUAGUUGGAGGGGUAACGGCCCACCAAGGCGAUGAUCAGUAGCCGGUCUGAGAGGAUGAACGGCCACAUUGGGACUGAGACACGGCCCAGACUCCUACGGGAGGCAGCAGUGGGGAAUCUUCCGCAAUGGACGAAAGUCUGACGGAGCAACGCCGCGUGAGCGAUGACGGCCUUCGGGUUGUAAAGCUCUGUUAAUCGGGACGAAAGGCCUUCUUGCGAAUAGUGAGAAGGAUUGACGGUACCGGAAUAGAAAGCCACGGCUAACUACGUG